rnacentral:rRNA from 1 species
AACGAACGCUGGCGGCAUGCCUAACACAUGCAAGUCGAACGAGACCUUCGGGUCUAGUGGCGCACGGGUGCGUAACGCGUGGGAACCUGCCCUUAGGUUCGGAACAACUCCCCGAAAGGGGUGCUAAUACCGGAUAAUGUCUUCGGACCAAAGAUUUAUCGCCUUUGGAUGGGCCCGCGUUGGAUUAGCUAGUUGGUAGGGUAAAAGCCUACCAAGGCGACGAUCCAUAGCUGGUCUGAGAGGAUGAUCAGCCACACUGGGACUGAGACACGGCCCAGACUCCUACGCGAGGCAGCGGUGGGGAAUAUUGGGCGAUGGGGGAGAGCCUGAGACAGCGAUGCGGCGUGAGUGAUGAAGGCGUUAGAGUAGUAAAGCACUUUUACCCGGGAUGAUAAUGACAGUACCGGGAGAAUAAGCGCCGGCCAACUCCGUG